ACUUUUUUUCUUCUACAGUUUUGAAAUCUUGUAUUCACCACUGAAUCUUCAUUAUUCUGGUUCUUCAGUUUUCUACGUUUCUUUGACACAAAUCAACUUCCAUGAAUCACCUUCCUAUCACCUUCAUUUUUACAUUUAAAAAGAGACUCUUAAAAAUGCUGAGGCUGCCAAGUUGUCACUGAAAGUGCCUGCACCCAGUACCAGUAAGAGGCAAUUGCAGACAAGCAAUUACAGCUAAGCCCUGGGAUGAAGCAC